CCUACGGGUGGCAGCAGUGAGGAAUAUUGGUCAAUGGGCGCGAGCCUGAACCAGCCAAGUAGCGUGAAGGAUGACUGCCCUACGGGUUGUAAACUUCUUUUAUAAAGGAAUAAAGUGAGGCACGUGUGCCUUUUUGUAUGUACCUUAUGAAUAAGGAUCGGCUAACUCCGUGCCAGCAGCCGCGGUAAUACGGAGGAUCCGAGCGUUAUCCGGAUUUAUUGGGUUUAAAGGGAGCGUAGGUGGGUUGUUAAGUCAGUUGUGAAAUUUUGGGGCUCAACCGUAAAAUUGCAUUUGAUACUGGCAGGCUGGAGUGCGGUAGAGGUAGGCGGAAUGCGUGGUGUAGCGGUGAAAUGCAUAGAUAUCACGAAGAACACCGAUUGCGAAGGCAGCUUACUAAACUGGAACUGACGUUGAUGCUCGAAAGUGUGGGUAUCAAACAGGAUUAGAUACCCGUGUAGUC
rnacentral:rRNA from 1 species